AGAAGACGGUUUGGUUUGGAGAUGGCAUCAACAACAACAACAACUGAUAAUUCAGCGUUUUCUAAGUGGAUUAUACUCGCAGCAUUUUGAAUUUGUCACAGAAAUUGAUAAGAACUUCACAGUAAGGUGCACUUUAUGUGCUGGUGGGAGGCCGAGGGAACUGUCUACGGCUAAAAAUAGUACAAGUAACCUCAAGAAACACCUGGAGAGAGUGAACAGCAGCCUCAAGCUAGCGGCUAAACGACCUCUUGCUAGUAAACAAGUGGAAGAUGACGGCGCGAGCAGAUCUAAACAACGACAGCUGGAUUUCUCCAGACCAGAGGUGAAGAUGCUUGACCCAGGAGAAGUGAGAAGGCUGGUGGCUGAGUAUGUCUUGGAGGAUGUGCUGCCUCUUUCUACAGUUGAGUCACCGGCGUUUCAAAAGCUUGUCUGCAAAGUCCCUGUUCGAUCAAGUGAGAAGCCUUCCAUUGUCAGACGGUGUCUCGCCAAUUAG
rnacentral:lncRNA from 1 species